rnacentral:rRNA from 2 species
GGAUGUGAUCAUACCAGCACUAAAGCAUCGGAUCCCAUCAGAACUCCGAAGUUAAGCGUGCUUGGGCGAGAGUAGUACUAGGAUGGGUGACCUCCUGGGAAGUCCUCGUGUUGCAUUCC